AAUGAGCAAAUGGUAGAAAAUCCUAUGAAGGCGCCUGAAAUGCAUUGCCGGUUAAUCAGAUUCUCUAUAAUCGAUAGAAGCUCUAAAUUAAGAGGACCGAAACUGGAUCAAAAGGUGCUUCAGUAGAAGAUUAGCUAACAGGAGGCAGAACUCCCCCCCUCCUGUGUCAGUCAGGCAGGUGCUGCGCCGCUGAUCUGAAUGUGACGGCAGGGAGAUGGCACCAGGUGGUUCAAUGCCUGCUUCCACCUGCUCACCUAAAAUGCCACUCCACCUCUCCUGGACAACGAUAUCUUGCCAAGAAAAUUAUUUACUAAGAGCAGGCGCUGAGGCGGACAUGUGGGGGACAAACAAGCUUAGUAAACAUGCUUCAUCUCGCUUGCCACCUGACCUUACAGCUGAUUUCUAAUGUGCC